ACAACAAAAAAACAUAAAACAAGAUGGGUGUUCUCACCAAAGAGGUAGACAACAAAAAAAGACAUAAAACAAGAUGGGUGUUCUCACCAAAGAGGUAGACAACAAAAAAAGACAAGCUGGGUGUUCUCACCAAAGAGGUAGACAACAAAAAAGAUGGGUGUUCUCACCAAUGAGGUAGACAACAGAAAAACAACAAAAAAGAUGGGGUGUUCUUACACAAGAGAUAGACAACAACAAAAAAGACAAGCUGGGUGUUUUACCAAAGAGGUAGACAACAAAAAAACAACAAAAAAGAUGGGGUGUUCUCACCAAAGAGAUAGACAACAACAAAAAAGACAAGCUGGGUGUUUUACCAAAGAGGUAGACAACAAAAAAAGACAAGCCGGGUGUUCUCACCAAAGAGGUAGACAACAAAAAAAGACAAGCCGGGUGUUCUCACCAAAGAGGUAGACAACAAAAAAAGACAAGCCGGGUGUUCUCACCAAAGAGGUAGACAACAAAAAAAGACAAGCCGGGUGUUCUCACCAAAGAGGAAGACAACAAAAAAAGACACGCUGGGUGUUCUCACCAAAGAGGUAGACAACAAAAAAAGACAAGCCGGGUGUUCUCACCAAAGGGGUAGACAACAAAAAAAGACAAGCCGGGUGUUCUCACCAAAGAGGUAGA